CAGCAGCCGCCACGGUAAUACGAGGGGUGCAAGCGUUAUUCGGAUUGAUUGGGUGUAAAGGGUGUGCAGACGGCUUAUUAAGUCACUUGUUAAAUUCUUCGGCCUAACUGAAGGUCUGCAAGUGAUACUGAUGAGCUAGAGGGUGGAAGAGAGAAGUGGAGUUCUCGGAGUAGCGGUAAAAUGCGUAGAUCUCGAGAGGAACACCAAUGGCGAAGGCAGCUUCUUGGUCCAUUCCUGACGUUCAUACACGAAAGCGUGGGGAGCAAACAGGAUUAGAUACCCGCGUAGUCCCUGUCUCUUAACA
rnacentral:rRNA from 1 species